rnacentral:rRNA from 1 species
UACGGAGGGAGCUAGCGUUGUUCGGAAUUACUGGGCGUAAAGCGCGCGUAGGCGGCUUUGUAAGUUAGAGGUGAAAGCCCGGAGCUCAACUCCGGAACUGCCUUUAAGACUGCAUCGCUUGAAUCCAGGAGAGGUGAGUGGAAUUCCUAGUGUAGAGGUGAAAUUCGUAGAUAUUAGGAAGAACACCAGUGGCGAAGGCGGCUCACUGGCCCGGUACUGACGCUGAGGCGACGAAAGCGUGGGGAGCAAACAGG